CCCAGACUCCUACGGGAGGCAGCAGUGGGGAAUAUUGGGCAAUGGGCGCAAGCCUGACCCAGCAAUGCCGCGUGAAGGAAGAAGGCUUUCGGGUUGUAAACUUCUUUGACAGGGGAAGAGCAGAAGACGGUACCCUGAAAACAAGCCACGGCUAACUACGUGCCAGCAGCCGCGGUAAUACGUAGGUGGCAAGCGUUGUCCGGAUUUAUUGGGUGUAAAGGGCGUGUAGGCGGGAGCGCAAGUCAGAUGUGAAAACUCAGGGCUCAACCCUGAGCCUGCAUUUGAAACUGUGUUUCUUGAGUGCUGGAGAGGCAAUCGGAAUUCCGUGUGUAGCGGUGAAAUGCGUAGAUAUACGGAGGAACACCAGUGGCGAAGGCGGAUUGCUGGACAGUAACUGACGCUGAGGCGCGAAAGCGUGGGGAGCAAACAGGAUUAGAUACCCGGGUACC
rnacentral:rRNA from 1 species